rnacentral:rRNA from 1 species
UAGCCGUAAACGAUACUCGCUAGGUGUCGGCCACGGUGCGACCGUUGUCGGUGCCGUAGGGAAGCCGUGAAGCGAGCCACCUGGGAAGUACGGCCGCAAGGCUGAAACUUAAAGGAAUUGGCGGGGGAGGCACCACAACGGGUGGAGCUUGCGGUUUAAUUGGAUUCAACGCCGGAAAUCUUACCGGGACCGACAGCAACAUGAAGGCCAGGCUGAAGACUUUGCCGGAUUAGCUGAGAGGAGGUGCAUGGCGUAGUCGUGU